rnacentral:lncRNA from 1 species
UCAAGUAACAAUUUUAAUACUAUAUACAUAUAACUUCUUAUAGAUUUUUCCAGCAUUUCCUAAAAUUUUCAUUUCAUCAAGACUGGUGUUCACAAUUUUUGAUAUUUUUACAAAAUAUCCCACAUCAAAUAAUAAUAUAGGAUUCCAAACUUUCAAAUCAUAUGCUACAACCAUAUUCUCAUCCCACCAACUCUUUUAACUUAACUUUCUUUGUGAAAAUGAAAAAUCACUUAUUCAGCGAUCUCAUUGCCCAACUCUUUUUCUGUUAACAAGAGAAACAAAGUUUAUAAUACAAGCAAGAAUCAAGUCUAUAGUUUUACCUAAUGGAUUAAGGAGUCACCAUUUGAAAAUCAAGUUUUUAUUUGGUUCAUGGUUAGAUGCUAGAUCCCAAAAUGUUAAUACGCAAGAAGCCCUCAGAUCUCAUACACGGUAAGGCUCAUGGUUUUCAUUAAAGGCCAGUCCACACCUUCAAAAUAAUAAUAAUAAUAAUAAUAAUUGUCAUAACACAGAGGCUGAUGAAGAAGGAGGAGAAGGGGGAGGCUAUUAAUGAAAACCAUAUAACCACACAUGAGUUUUCCAUCAUUGGGCAUUUGCUCACCACAAUGAAAAAGAUAACCACAAUUUCGGAUAUCCACCUGUGAUUCACUAGUGAUAUAAUGAGUUCAUCAAUCUAUACCAAUUGACCUUUUUAAAUAAACCCAUUCGAUGAUUCGAUUUCUUGAAAGGCAACAAGCUGAGGCAAAAAGCUUCUUGCUUAGCAGAUUGUCUGAAGUUCCAACUUGCAUAUAAACUCAUGCUCUUCAAAAAAGCAAACAUAGAUCUUUCUCAAAAGGCAAUAUUAAAAAACAAAGAAGUAAAAAUUCAGUGGGAGUGGUAAUGGCAUAUGAAAAUUUAAAACCAUAACUUUCAUCACAUGCUAAAACUGGGUUGAUCUAAAAGGAAAUGUAAGAGAAGUGAAGGACAAAAAAAAGAAAGAACCAGACAAUAACAUCUAUUGAUAGCCCUCAGAUCUCAUAGCUAUUAUUAGUCAUCGUCAGUUAUAACAAACUGAUUCUUAUUAAGAGCCUCCACAUCUUCAACCACAGUAGAAAAGAGAGAUAGAGAGAGAGAGAGAGAGAGAAAGAGAGAGGUGGUGGUGGUGAGGCUGAUGGUGAGGAUGAGAGUAAAGGCUCCUAAUAAAAAUCAAUUUAAACCCUCCACAAAAUAAGUUUUCCAUCAUCGGGCAGAUGUUCAUAUUGAUAUUAUUGUCGACUGAAAAAUCAGGAUACACCUAUAAUAAGAGAGGACUGCAUGCAAGAAAACAGUUCAUUUAUAAAAAAUAAAAAUAAAAAAACAGAAAGAAAGAUAAAAGAUGAAAUAAGAAAACCAAUUCAUAAACAAACAAAAUGUGUAAUUAUACUAAAACAAUUUGAGCUUAAAGCAGAAGUACAACAGGAAAAAUACAACAGCAGCUUAAACCUAUAAUCAGUUUGGGUGGGUCAGAUGUGUUCAGCUAAAUAAUGUUUCAAUGAUUAAAUGAAAUAGGACCAUAUGAAAAAUUAUGCAGUAUCUGCCCACCAAUAACCAAAAGAAAUAAACAAGGGCAAAUCCCAAAUAAAUAAAUUUUCAAAUCUCAAACCAUCAAUCUAAAUUAAGCUAUAGAAGUAAUAAUGCCAAGAAGAACAUCAACAGAAUACUAGAAAAAUCCAAGGAAUAAAUAAUGGAUAGGAUUAAAUGGAUGCAAUAUCCUCAAGAAAUGGACACCUGUAAAUACCACAAAAGCAAAUAGCUUACAAUUGGUCUAUAUCUUGUCAUAGCUGAGCACAUCUAUAAGAUAUACACACCACCAAAAUAACUUUAUUCUACUACAUAAUGUUGUUUAAUCAUAACAUCAACUUAUUCAAAUAUGCAAAAGGCAGUUAGUACAGUUCACCUGCUGAUCUUCAAGACUUAAACCAACCAGCACUGUACCCAUAUGAGAUAAGAAACACUCCAUUCACAUAAGCUUCCAGCACUAGUACCAUAGAAAAAUAAUACACAGUGCUAACUUCAACAUCACCCCCAUAGGCAUCGAAAUCUCAGAAAAUAACAAGACAAAACCAUUGGAUAUAACAAUAGUCUCCAAAACAAGUCUCAACUGGGCGAGUAUCAGUGAGAACUUCAUUCCCAAGAUUAAGAGCCAUUCAAAAUACUAGAAAAGCUCAAACUUCAUAUGAGACAAAAUGGGUUUUUUUUUUUUUUUUGCAAAUCAAGUUUCCAUUCGAAAAACAUAGAUAUGAAGAGUACAUUUACAUGGUUCUCAUUAACCUAAAAAGAUUGUCAACAGUUCAAUGUCUUAGAUGCCAUAUUACAAUAUAUAAACAAGUAAAGCCCUCAGAUCUCAUAGCUACCAAUAUUCAUAGAAGGUAAAGCUUGUAAUUUUCAUUAGAAGCCAAUCCACAACUUGAUAAUAAUAAGAAUGCUAACAGCAGUAGUAAGAAGAAGAAGAAGAAGAAGAAGAAGAAGAAGAUGAUGAUGAUGAUGAUGAGGGAGGCUCCUAGUGAAAACCACAGCAACCACACCAAAUAUGAGAAUUCCAUCAUAGGGCAGAUGGCCAAGAUUCAAAAGCUUUGUCAUCCAUGGUUUAUAGAAUGAAAUAGUCCAGAUAAUAAGAACAUAAAAGAGAGCAUAAUCACAAAGGAAGGAAUGGUAAGAAGAGGUCAGAAGAGCCAAAGAAGAAACGAGCAUAAAGACUCCCGCAGAAACCAUAAACAAAGCUGCUUCGGAAAAACACAUUCAGAAUUACAAGGAAGCAGAUUUCACAAUCAAUAGUAAUUGUAACAGAAGUUCUCAUUUGUUUAAAAGACAAUAAUAACACACGUUGUGCAUUAUGGGAUCAAAGAAAAGAUCAAGAAGCAACCCAUGUUAAGGACUUGCCUGACUUUUAGGGGAAAAAAAAAGGUGAUCAUAGGUACAACAAAGCACUUAAAACAGUGUAGACAAACUUGAUAACGCAACUUGGCCCCUCAAAUUUGUUGAAAAAUGGUGAGACUGAGGUUCCGACUAGUGCGUUUUUUAAUGAACCACACUGACCUCUCAAAAGGCUAUCUUAAUUAUAUAAUUCUGUGAAUAAAAAGGUCAAAACAUGCACAUAGUUAAAUUGAUCUCAAAUAAUAGCAGGAUAACAAAAUAAAGCACCCAUCACGUGUGUGACCCAUAGGAUGAAAAUCCGUUGCACCAAGUAAUUUCACUAGUCUUAACUCAGGUCGUAAGGGUAUAUUUCCAAUCAUUCAAAAAGUCAGCAACUUAAUUCAUGUAAUUGAAACUCCACCAGUAACCUAAUGACACCAAAAUAACAAUGUGAUAGUUGUCUGAUAUUUAAACCAAUCGAAAUCCAUUCUGAGGCAGUAGCAAUGAUAGAAGAAAACAUUUCAAUAGUUAUACCUAAACCCGAUUCAAAAACCAAAACACUUGAUCAAAUGAAACAAAAAAGAAAGGACGCAAUGGAUAGAAAAUCGCAAAAAAAAAAAAAAAACAUAGACAAAAAUAUACUAAAAAAGCCCUCAGAUCUCAUAGCUAUCAUAAGUCAUUGUUAGUAAAACAAACCGGUUUUUAUUAAGAGCCUUUCCACAUCUUUAUCCAUACUAAAGAGAAUGUGAAAGAUUGAGGGAGGAAGAGGAGAGAUAGAGAGAGAGAGAGAGAGAGAGAGAAAGCGAGAGAGAGAGAGAGAGAAGACAGAUUAAGAAGAAUAUGGCGAGGAUGAUAGUCAAGGCUCCUAACAAAAACGACUGCAACCCCCUCCAUAGAAUGAGUUUUCCAUCAUUGGGCAGAUGAAUUGAAAUAAUAACUAAUAAUCAGAACACCAGCCAUGAAUGCUUGUAAGAAACAAUUAUAAGUUUAAAAGAUUAAUUAAAAAAUUAAAAUAUAUAUAUAUCAUAAAAGAAAACAUAAUGAUCAAAACAAAUUGAAGACCACAAUAUUCUCCCUAUCUGAAGAUAAAUGAAACAAGACAUCAAGAUUUGUUUUCUUGGUUAAUAUUCAAAUAUGUUGACAAAACCAACAAAAACUCCAUACCAAAAAAGUAAUUGCAACAUUUAAAGGCAAAUGAUAUGAGAAGGGUGGUCAGAUACAGCUUUCUAGGCUAGCAUUUCCAUCAAUAUUACUCAGAGCCCAGUGCAUAUCAUCAUUCGUUCUAAAAAAUCAACAAAAGAAAGGAUAAAAAUGUCCAUUGAAUAAAACUCUAUUAUUCAAGAAAAAUCUUGCAACUGCAAGAUCCAUAAAAUCGACACCGCAUUUGAUGAAAAUCCUCAGAUCUCAUGCCUUUGAACAAACAAUCUAGGGUUUUGUACUCAAUCGCAUUCAUCAAAACCCUUUUCUAUAUAACACAGUAAUUCAUAAUAAAAACUAACAAACAACGUAGCCAUCCGACAGCUCCGCAGCCACCGUCGCAGGAGUCGUCAGCCCGGAGUGCGAGCAGAGGUAGAUGGGAUCAUGGGAAGAGGUAUAGAAUGACGUACGUAGGGUUUUAUCGCCCAUUUAUAGGCAGAGUUGAAUUCCUAAAAGAACCCUGGAUUUAGUCGUAAAUAUCUAGGUUCACCCGAUCUGGGCUUUUCUUUGGGUUUGGGCUUAUUUGAUAUAUCGAAAGUGAUGGGCCAGGCUAAGCUUUCGUGGGUUGUAUU